rnacentral:rRNA from 1 species
GACGAACGAGGGAGGAGGGAGGAACACAGGCAAGUCGAACGGAAAGACCCUGCUUUUGUGGGGUGCUCGAGUGGCGAACGGGUGAGUAACACGUGAGUAACCUGCCCUUGACUUUGGGAUAACUUCAGGAAACUGGGGCUAAUACCGGAUAGGAGCUCCUGCUGCAUGGUGGGGGUUGGAAAGUUUCGGCGGUUGGGGAUGGACUCGCGGCUUAUCAGCUUGUUGGUGGGGUAGUGGCUUACCAAGGCUUUGACGGGUAGCCGGCCUGAGAGGGUGACCGGCCACAUUGGGACUGAGAUACGGCCCAGACUCCUACGGGAGGCAGCAGUGGGGAAUAUUGCACAAUGGGCGGAAGCCUGAUGCAGCAACGCCGCGUGCGGGAUGACGGCCUUCGGGUUGUAAACCGCUUUCGCCUGUGACGAAGCGUGAGUGACGGUAAUGGGUAAAGAAGCACCGGCUAACUACGUG